rnacentral:rRNA from 1 species
CAAACGACUCUCGGCAACGGAUAUCUCGGCUCACGCAUCGAUGAAGAACGUAGCAAAAUGCGAUACUUGGUGUGAAUUGCAGAAUCCCGUGAACCAUCGAGUUUUUGAACGCAAGUUGCGCCCGAAGCCUUUUGGCCGAGGGCACGYCUGCCUGGGCGUCACGC